GGGCCAAUUAUCUUCAUGACUCCUCACGAGGAACAAACUAACUAUGAUUGAGCUAGCAAUUUAGGUUGGGGUGACCUCGGAAUAAAAAUCUAACCCCCGAGAAAAAUUUCUAAGACUUACAAGUCAAAGAAAUACUGAUAUAAAAUGACCCGCCAAUGGCGACCAACGAAACAAGUUACCCUAGGGAUAACAGCGCAAUCCUAUUCAAGAGUCCAUAUCGACAAUUAGGGUUUACGACCUCGAUGUUGGAUCAGGACAUCCCAAUGGUGUAGCAGCUAUUAAUGUGUUCGUUUGUUCAACGAUUAAAGUCCUACGUGAUCUGAGUUCAGACCGAAC
rnacentral:rRNA from 1 species